UGAAUGGGCGAAGCCUGACCGCCUGCACGUGAGUGAAGAAGGCCUUCGGGUUGUAAAGCUCUUUCGCAAGGAAAGAAAACUUACAUAUUAAUACUAUGUGAGGAUGACGGUACCUUGAUAAGAAGCACCGGCUAACUACGUGCCAGCAGCCGCGGUAAUACGUAGGGUGCAAGCGUUAAUCGGAAUUACUGGGCGUAAAGCGAGCGCAGGCGGUUUUGUAAGUCAGAUGUGAAAGCCCCGGGCUCAACCUGGGAACUGCGUUUGAAACUACAAGGCUAGAGUAUGGGAGAGGGAGGUAGAAUUCCACGUGUAGCAGUGGAAUGCGUGGAGAUGUGGAGGAAUACCAAUGGCGAAGGCAGCCUCCUGGCCUAAUACUGACGCUCAUGCUCGAAAG
rnacentral:rRNA from 1 species